CCCGCUCCGUGGACACGUCUACACGCCUGUCGCCACGCCACGCGCGUGCCCGUUCCCGGAGAUCACAGCGACUGGCAGAGUAGUGGGCGCGCACCACUGCGCGGCGUGCGACUCUACUUCUACUGCCACCACCCGGCUCCUACCUGCACACACACACCAACGUUGCCACGCCACGCCAAGGCCGGAGGCGACGACCACACCGAGAACGCGAGAGACCCCGGCCGCGGCGGCAAUGCAGCAGCCGCACCGCCACGCGAAGACGGACUCGGAGGUGACGUCGAGCAUGGCGGCGUCGUCGCCGCCGCGGCCGCCCUACUACGUGCAGUCGCCCAGCCACGACGACGGGGAGAACAAGACCGCGGUCUCCUCCUUCCACUCCUCACCGGCCGCGUCCCCGCCUCGCUCGCUGGGGCGGGCCUCCAGGGACACCUCCUCCUCCCGCUUCUCCGCCAGCAAGGGGCCCUCCGCCGCCGCCUCCUCCCGCGGCGGCGAGCCCGGCGGCGGGCGCCGGGGCAGCCCGUGGAUGAAGGAGGCGGCCAUCGAGGAGGAGGGCCUCCUCAUGGACGACGACGACGCCGGCGGAAACGGCGCCGGCGGGGGGCUCCCGAGGCGGUGGCGCUACGCGCUGGGCUUCGCCGGCGCCUUCUUCGCGCUCUUCUUCUUCUUCGCGCUCAUCCUCUGGGGCGCCAGCCGCAACCAGAGGCCCGUCGUCACCAUGCAGAGCAUCACGUUCCACAACUUCGUGAUCCAGGCCGGGACGGACGCUUCGCUGGUGCCGACGGAGAUGUCGACCCUCAACGCCACGGUGAGGCUCACGUUCCGCAACACGGGGACCUUCUUCGGCGUGCACGUCACCGCGCAGCCCGUCACGCUCUACUACUCCCAGCUCCUCAUGGCCUCCGGCAACCUGAAGUACUUCUACCAGGCGCGGAAGAGCCAGCGGAGCCUGACGGUGGCGGUGGUCGGCGACAAGGUGCCCCUGUACGGCGGCGGGUCGGGGCUCAGCAGCACCCCGACGACGCUGCCGCCGGCGAAGAAGCGCGCGCCGCCGGUGGUGGUGCCGCCGCCGCCGGUGCCGCUGCAGCUGGCGGUGCGGGUGCGGUCGCGGGCAUUCGUGCUGGGGAGGCUGGUGAAACCCAAGUUCUACACCGAGGCGCGGUGCAGCGUGACGCUGGACCAGACCAGGCUCGGCAAGGCCGUCUCCCUCAAGAAGGCAUGCACCUACGGCCACUAGCGAGCCGCGUCGUCGUCGUCGUCGUUCGUCGUCGUCGUCAUCUUCUUCUUUGUCGUCGUCGUUGUUGUUGAAUUCUCGAUCGAUAUCUUGCCGUUUUUCCGAAUGGUGUGGUGCGGGUUCUGAGACGUGAAAUGGCGCCGGUGGUGAUGGCGGCGGCGGAGGCGUGGUGGUGGUGGCCAUGAGGCCAUUGUUGCUUCCAAUUUUGGCGCUCCUCCAUUUACGAAUAUUUGACAACUUCGACUUUUAUUAUUCACAUUUUAAUUAACUCUAGUUUUUCAAAUAUUUGGUUGAUUGAUAUAAUAUAAUUAUCACUUGAUAUGCUAAAAGCACUUCCAUAACCCCAUGCAAUUAUAAAUGUAUGCUCGUGUAUUUUUGAAAAAAUCGAUGAUUAUAUUUUAAAUAGUAAAGUUAAACUUGUCAAUUAUUUGUAAACAGAGGGAGUAACAUCUAGUACGUUCUUGUUUGGAUCCUCAGUAUCUGUAGUUGUGAGUGUAGUAAGGUUUCAAUGAAGAUUCAGUAGGAAGCUUGUCAGGUUUCAGAAGCCAUAUGAUUUCGUAUCGAUAAAAGCCCAAAUCAGAGUGACUGUUAACCAAGUCCAGAGUGCUACUGACACCCAUGCAAUAACAAUCAUUCAGGCGUGUGAAUGCAGUGCUUUGAUUUGCGUCAAGGAGCUUCUGCAAAUACUAGCUCGAUGGCGUGUUCUUCAUGUGAAAUCUUGUUCUAACAAUAUAACAACGAAGGUUAAAAAAUAAAUCACCAUCAAUGAAGGAUCCUGAUGAUA